CAGUAGCCACGGGAAUACAGAGGGUGCGAGCGUUAAUCGGAUUUACUGGGCGUAAAGCGUGCGUAGGCGGCUUCUUAAGUCGGAUGUGAAAUCCCUGAGCUUAACUUAGGAAUUGCAUUCGAUACUGGGAAGCUAGAGUAUGUGAGAGGAUGGUAGAAUUCCAGGUGUAGCGGUGAAAUGCGUAGAGAUCUGGAGGAAUACCGAUGGCGAAGGCAGCCAUCUGGCCUAAUACUGACGCUGAGGUACGAAAGCAUGGGGAGCAAACAGGAUUAGAUACCCCUGUAGUCCCUGUCUCUUAUAC
rnacentral:rRNA from 1 species